UACGGAGGAUCCAAGCGUUAUCCGGAUUCAUUGGGUUUAAAGGGUGCGUAGGCGGCAUGAUAAGUCAGUGGUGAAAUCCUGCAGCUUAACUGCAGAACUGCCAUUGAUACUGUCAAUCUUGAGUACAUUUGAUGAGGGCGGAAUGUGUCAUGUAGCGGUGAAAUGCUUAGAUAUGACACAGAACACCGAUUGCGAAGGCAGCUCUCAAAACUGUAACUGACGCUGAGGCACGAAAGCGUGGGUAUCAAACAGG
rnacentral:rRNA from 1 species